UCCGGCUUAGCUCAGCAGGUAGAGCAGGCGGCUGUUAACCGCCGGGUCGUAGGUUCGAGUCCUACAGCCGGAGCCA
rnacentral:tRNA from 1 species